rnacentral:lncRNA from 1 species
GCAACACUGUCAAUGCUCCCGGGAGGGCACCCUCCCCCCUCAUCCUGCCACCCUCCCGGAGGCUGAAGGCCCAACUAGGGGCCCAUGCUGGCAUCUGCUGGGAUCGGCAUGCCUGGGGGCCCCCACCCCCACCCUGGGCAGCACUGAAAGGUGCCCCAGGCGUCCAAGUUUCCAUGGGCCCAAGCUAAUAGAGCAGCGAGGGCUGUGUCAUCCUGAUGGCUGGCAACAUCUGAUGAGGAGGAACAGCAAUACAUGGGCCCCUUGGAUUCCCAAGGGGAAAACAAGCCCCUCCCUUCCUGACCCCCCAGGCCUGCCGGAGGUCGGCCUUCCAGCAGAACCACCAGACCAGAGGCACUGGAGGAAGGUGACUUGAAUUCUGGAGCCUCCCUUCCAGGGCGGGGGUGAGGGUGUGAUACACACUUACACACUGUUCGGCGUCGGGGCGUCAAGUUGAGAACCCCCACUGUCCCAUUUCCUCCCGCUGUCUCCUGUCCACACCUGAGUCUCCUCUCUGAAGGGCCUGCUGGGCCCUAUGGGGAGCAGAGAGAAACCCACGCCACCGCCUGGCCUUGAAGAGAGAAGACAAGACUCACAGGCAGAUACACCAAGUGGACCGUUGCAUCGCUUCCUCCUCUCCGAGCCUCAGUUUCCUCACCAGUGAAGUGGGCGGGCUGGACUGAGUCCUCAGGAGGGCCCUGCAGCUCUCCCGCCCUUACCUGGAAGGCUGUCUCCUCUUCUUCCAUCUCUCCUGCCCUGGCACCGCCUCCCCGGCUCCUCCGGCCCCACUCACCCCCGACUCAUCCGAAGGACGGCUUUUUAAGACUCAGCCCGGCUCCACCUGCUUCUCCCACGAAAGGCGACAUGCCAGAGGGCAGAGCAUGGCCUCGAAUGCUGCGCCAUUACUGUCAGCCGCGGACCGAGAGCCACUGCAGCCUGGUCCAACACCACUCCACCGUCUUUCAAACAGGAGUAAGGCCCACAGCGCCCGGCAGGGGUGGGUGUGAAGACGAGCUAAUGUGCUGCACACACAGUAGGUCCUUGUUAUGGACUGAAUUGUGUCCCCUCAGAUUCCUAUGUUGAAGCCCUAACCCCCAGUGCCAGAAUGUGACUGUAUCUGGAGAGAGGGCCUUUAAAGAGGGAAGUAAGUUAAAAUGAGGCCGUUAGGGUGGGCCCUGACACAGUGAAAAUGGUGUCCUGGGAAGAGGAGGCUAUCAGAACACAGAGAGAGCCACCAGGGCGCGUGCACAGAGGGACGGCCAUGUGAAGAGGCAGCAAGGGCACGGCUGUCUGCACUCCAAGGAGAGGGGGCCAGGAGAAAUCAGGCCUUCUGGCACCUCCAUUUUGGACCUCCAGCCUCCAGAGCUGUGAGAAGGUCAACUUGUUUGAACCACCCCGUCUGUGGUACUUUGUCAUGGCAGCCGGGGCAGACAAAUACAGUCCUUAAGAGGCGCCAAUCCUUUCGGCCUUGACUUUGUGUCAGCCUUGUUUGGUGUGUGAGAAGGCUUGUUCCUCGGCUUAUAAAUGACUGGAGGGCAAGUUCCAGGCAGCUGUGUCUUUCCCUGUGGGCCCGGAGGGCGCAGUUCGAUGCCAGGCACAGGGGGCACACACGCGGAGCCCUGUGCUCACUGCCGGCUCCGCCCACCUGCCGACAAGGGUGGGGACCCCGCUGCCAUCCACCGAGGUGCCUCUCAAACUUCAGUCAUGGAGUCAAUUUAGGGAGUCACACGAGCACCUUUCAAGAAUAACAACACAGAGCGGAAGAGAAAAGAUGCCCGGGUGCGUCUCAGGGAGUGAG